GAUGAAGAACGUAGUGAAAUGCGAUAAGUAAUGUGAAUUGCAGAAUUCAGUGAAUCAUCGAAUCUUUGAACGCACCUUGCACCCUUUGGCAUUCUGAAGGGUAUGCUCGUUUGAGUGUCAUUGUACUCUCACACUCCCGAUCUUUGCAUUGGGAGCAGUGGACUUGGGUUUGCUGCUUCACCGUCGCUUACCUCAAAUAGGUUAGUGCAACUCUUGGUUGGACAUAGUACGGCGUGAUAAGUGUUCUUCGCCGGUGCCUCGCAAAGAGGGUGGCCGAUCGGGAUGUUGUGCUCCAAACCGUCUUCGGACAAUCUCUGACGACUUGACCUCAAAUCGAGUAAGACUACCCGCUGAACUUAAGCAUAUCAUAAGCGGAGGA
rnacentral:misc_RNA from 1 species